rfam:Pteropus alecto contig74548, whole genome shotgun sequence.
GUGCUCGCUUCGGCACCACAUAUACUAAAACUGGAACGAUGCAGAGAAGAUUAGCAUGGCCCUGCGUUAGGAUGACAGGCAGAUUCGUUAAGCAUUCCAUAUUUAA